GAAAUGCGAUAAUUAAUGUGAAUUGCAGAAUUCGGUGAAUCAUCGAGUCUUUGAACGCACAUUGCGCCCCCUGGUAUUCCGGGGGGCAUGCCUGUCCGAGCGUCAUUGCUGCCCUCAAGCACGGCUUGUGUGUUGGGCUUCCGUCCCUGGCAACGGGGACGGGCCCAAAAGGCAGUGGCGGCACCAUGUCUGGUCCUCGAGCGUAUGGGGCUUUGUCACCCGCUCCCGUAGGUCCAGCUGGCAGCUAGCCUCGCAACCAAUCUUUUUAACCAGGUUGACCUCGGAUCAGGUAGGGAUACCCGCUGAACUUAAGC
rnacentral:misc_RNA from 1 species